UCACCAAUAUGAUAGGUUUGUACUAACAUCACAGAGGGGCCUCACUUUGGGGCUGGUUCAUACCUCUACAUGCACUUCAAUACGAAGGAUCCAGAGAUUGGUUCUACCAACUCUUAGAGUAGAAAGCAGGAUCAGGCUCCCAUUGCAGAUUCUUAUCCGUUAUUUUCUUCUAUUGCCUUUCAAAUGAGGAGGGAAAGUCCUUCCUAAAAUCUUAUCACCCACUGGAAAGCAGUUUGAGGCCAACCAGAGCUGAUAGCUGACUUGUCUUUUCUUGUUUGAUUGUAAGGUUUGUCCCAUCAGUUGGGGAAUAUGGAUAACAUGGAAUCUUCUUCGUUAUGGGGGACUCAGCAUGUCCAUGUGUUACAUGGAUGCAUAUUCACUUGUAUUGCUGACAUGUAAUACCACAUUUCUCCUGAAGUGGCCACCGCAGGGAAACUGAGCGGCCACAUUGUGCUUCCCCUACAGAUCACCAGAGAUUAGAGAAGCUGCACCCACAUCGAUCAGUAGAUUGUGGAUGUGACUUCAAUCUGAAAUGAAGUUGUCAUACUUUGAAAAUAUCCAACUGAUUUACUCAAAUGUGCCAUCAUGGAAAAAAGUUAGACCUCUCAGUUAAACAUGACACGAACAAUCACAUUGCUGCUGAUAUCUCUAAGUGUGCUCCUUGCUCUGGUAACAGCAAAAUCAAUACCUGACUGUACAGAUGGCAAAGUAUAUACUGAUUGUGGGAGCAACUGUCCACCAACCUGCGAUAAACCGAAUCCUAUAUGCAAUUAUAUGUGUGUUCCAGGUUGUUUCUGCCCAAAGGGCACUGUACAAAAUAUCAGGGGUAAAUGUGUGCAAAAGGAUAAGUGCAGACUCUGAAGCGGGAACACAACAUAUUCCAUUUGUGCCAAUAACUGCCCCGGUGUUGUAUCUCCCCCAAAUUGCCUUAGAAUAGAAUGUAUGCACGGCUGUGCAUGUAAACCCAACUACGCGCUCCUACCUAACAGCAAGAGAUGUGUCCUUCCACAGGAUCUCCCCAACGUUGGCUCCAACAAGUAAACCAUCCCAUGUGUGUCUUAUUAGCAAUCAUCAAAAUUGAAAGUUUUAGAUGUGUCUGAUGAAAAUAAAAUGAUUGCUGACAUUGUU